rnacentral:rRNA from 1 species
UUCCGGUUGAUCCUGCCGGACCUGACUGCUAUCGGAUUGAUACUAAGCCAUGCGAGUCAUUGUAGCAAUACAAGGCAGACGGCUCAGUAACGCGUAGUCAACCUAACCUAUGGAUGGGAAUAACCUCGGGAAACUGAGAAUAAUGUCCAAUAGAACACUAUACCUGGAAUGGUUUGUGUUCCAAAUGAUUUAUCGCCGUAGGAUGGGACUGCGGCCUAUCAGUUUGUUGGUGAGGUAAUGGCCCACCAAGACUAUUACAGGUACGGGCUCUGAGAGGAGUAGCCCGGAGAUGGGUACUGAGACACGGACCCAGGCCCUAUGGGGCGCAGCAGGCGAGAAAACUUUGCAAUGUGCGAAAGCACGACAAGGUUAAUCCGAGUGAUUUGUGCUAAACGAAUCUUUUGUUAGUCCUAGAAACACUAACGAAUAAGGGGUGGGCAAGUUCUGGUGUCAGCCGCCGCGGUAAAACCAGCACCUCAAGUGGUCAGGAUGAUUAUUGGGCCUAAAGCAUCCGUAGCCGGCUCUGUAAGUUUUCGGUUAAAUCUGUAUGCUCAACAUACAGGCUGCCGGGAAUACUGCAGAGCUAGGGAGUGGGAGAGGUAGACGGUACUCGGUAGGAAGGGGUAAAAUCCUUUGAUCUAUUGAUGACCACCUGUGGCGAAGGCGGUCUACCAGAACACGUCCGACGGUGAGGGAUGAAAGCUGGGGGAGCAAACCGGAUUAGAUACCCGGGUAGUCCCAGCUGUAAACUAUGCAAACUCAGUGAUGCAUUGGCUUGUGGCCAAUGCAGUGCUGCAGGGAAGCCGUUAAGUUUGCCGCCUGGGAAGUACGUACGC